UAAUACGUAGGCAGCGAGCGUUGUUCGGAAUUACUGGGCGUAAAGAGUGUGUAGGCGGCGCUCUAAGUUCGGUGUGAAAUCUCCUGGCUUAACUGGGAGGGUGCGCCGGAAACUGGAGUGCUCGAGCGUGGGAGAGGAAAGCGGAAUUCCUGGUGUAGCGGUGAAAUGCGUAGAUAUCAGGAGGAACACCUGCGGUGUAGACGGCUUUCUGGACCAUUGCUGACGCUGAGACACGAAAGCGUGGGUAGCAAACAGGAUUAGAUACCCUGGUAGUCCACGCCCUAAACGAUGCAUACUUGGUGUCGGCCAUUCAGUUGGUCGGUGCCGGAGCUAACGCGUUAAGUAUGCCGCCUGGGGAGUACGGUCGCAAGGCU
rnacentral:rRNA from 1 species